rnacentral:rRNA from 1 species
AUUGAACGCUGGCGGCAGGCCUAACACAUGCAAGUCGAGCGGCUGAAGGGAGCUUGCUCCUGGAUUCAGCGGCGGACGGGUGAGUAAUGCCUAGGAAUCUGCCUGGUAGUGGGGGAUAACGUGCGGAAACGGGCGCUAAUACGGCAUACGUCCUGAGGGAGAAAGUGGGGGAUCUUCGGACCUCACGCUAUCAGAUGAGCCUAGGUCGGAUUAGCUAGUUGGUGGGGUAAAGGCCUACCAAGGCGACGAUCCGUAACUGGUCUGAGAGGAUGAUCAGUCACACUGGAACUGAGACACGGUCCAGACUCCUACGGGAGGCAGCAGUGGGGAAUAUUGGACAAAGGGCGAAAGCCUGAUCCAGCCAUGCCGCGUGUGUGAAGAAGGUCUUCGGAUUGUAAAGCACUUUAAGUUGGGAGGAAGGGCAGUAAGUUAAUACCUUGCUGUUUUGACGUUACCAACAGAAUAAGCACCGGCUAACUUCGUG